CAGAGGAGGACAAUCCCCUUAAACAUGUGACUGGUGGUUCUGAUGAAGGCCUCAUUAUUAAACAGAUAGAGUGGAAUGAAAAGCAGGCGUACACUGAAAUCACCUUCGACAUUUCCAGACUUUGUUUAUAUUUCUCUACAGAGUUUGUUGUAACUUCAGAUAUUAAAAGUGCAACCAAGAGUUCAACUGAUCAGACUAAAGAAGAGAAAAUACCAAAAACAGAAUAGAUUAAACACUCUGUUCUUAACAUAAUAAGUAAUAUUAUUUAAAUCUACUCUGAGGUUUUUUUUUGUUUUUUUGUUUUAAUGAAGUGUAAGCAAACGUGACAAUCAGUAGCCAGAUUAAUGCCUGAAACUGGUGCAAAAGGGGCGAAUAUCAACCAAGCAGCAGCUAUUUUUUGCAGUUUUAUCUUUGUCCAUAGGGGGUACCAAGGUUGACUCAGUGAAAAUUCCUCACUGGACCUUUAUGAGAAAAAGGUUUUGAUACAAAUGGUACUGUGGUGUUGUUUGACCCAAUCAGGACUUGGAGGUUUUCUUUGGUUUUCAUUUCAGUGUUUCUUACAGGUAUCCUCAGUGCAUCUAAAAGUGAACUCAUGUUGAGCCCAACAGAAGCUCUAAUUAAAUUUAAUUUAAAAGUGUUUUUCAUUCAAUUAGCAAGACGACUCAAAAUGAGAGUGCCCCCCAAACCACUGAUAUGAAAGAUAAGCAUGAAUUGUGCCUCCAUUUCAGUUGUUGUUCCAGCAUUGGUGACCUCUAUAUCGAUCCACAGACAUCAAUGUAACUUUAAAACCUCCUGACCUUUAAGUGUCACAUGUGCAUUUUUUUCUUCGGCACAGCAAGACCUCACUCAUAUCACCAAGACAAAUUAAAGUUGAUGAGAAGCCUUUGUCUCCAUUGAUUUAUUUGUACCAUGUGACAGGCUGAAGCUCUGUUGAAAACACGAGUCACAUUUUCACACUGUUGGAAUGACAGAUCAAGUUAUCUAGACGCUGUUACACCCUCACAUUAAAAAGAGCCAGUUAAGGUGAUUUGGGCAUCUCAUAAAGUUGAAUGGACAUACCCAUAAGGUGCAGGUAAAUGUUGUUGGGGAGAGGGACCUGACUCUGGAUAAGCAUGUAAAUGAUUUUGAAUGCAAGCCUUGGCCACCCUUUUAGCUAUUGCAAUUGGAAAUGUCUUGCUUGUAGAGCUGUACUGCCAUACUUCUUGCAAACUAUCUAGCAUGGCCUACCUUUGGUAAAACGGUGUAUGUUGUUGGGGAGAGGGACCUGACUCUGGAUAAGCAUGUAAAUGAUUUUGAAUGCAAGCCUUGGCCACCCUUUUAGCUAUUGCAAUUGGAAAUGUCUUGCUUGUAGAGCUGUACUGCCAUACUUCUUGCAAACUAUCUAGCAUGGCCUACCUUUGGUAAAACGGUGUAGGGCUCUCUGCAUUAGCAAGCGGUACUUUAGACAUUGGUAUCUCACUAUACAUGGACACUAACUCCACCUGUCUUUUGUUGAGAGCACCAUCUGGCAGAGCUUUGAGGCUGUGCUUGCCGUUCAGAAAACUUGUUUCUUUAUCCAUUUCUACCCAACAAGGCAUUAACUUUGACAGCCUUUAAAGUUUUAUAGUAGAUGUUCAUACAUAGAGAGCAAGUCAACUGAAGUCCAAUUCCCUGUAGAUGCAAACAAAACUUGGCCAAAACUGCUGAUUCUGUUGUAAAGAGAAAGUAAUUAUUAAGUGAUUGUCAGAUGAAUGAGCACGAGUUUUACUCUUAUAACCCUGUUAAAAGCAAAUAGAAAUGUAUACUGUAACACACUCAACUCUUGAAAAUAAUCGGCUCGGGCUCAAAUACUCAUGACUACUGAAAAACCAACAUGGCCUCAUAAAGAGGGAUGAGUCAUCUGUGUUUCUGGACUGUAGUCACAGAGGACGUUGCAAAGAGGUCUUUUCUCUGAAGUUUCUGAACAGAAGAACAAAGUUGAGGAUUUUUUUAUUUUAAUUAAAUAACAUAGACUCCUGAAAGAUUCAUACAUAAGAAUAAUCAGACUUUGUAGCAGGUUGACACUCAUUCAGCUCAAGAGGACUAAUAAAAGUCAUAUGACUGACAAAGAACAUGUUUCGUAAUUUGUGGAGAAAUUAUGGUUAAAUUGCUCAAAUUUGAUUUUCUUCCAGGCGCACUGACAAAAAUCUCUUCUGCUUUCUGCUGGUUUGAAUCAUCAGCCCACAUGAUCCAAAACCUGGUGAUAAUAUAUGAUCACCAGGAUUUCACUGCAGUUAUGUGUGUUUCACAAACCAAAGCAGGAAUUUCCCUUUGGCUCUGUUUAUGCUAGAUUGUUCGAGUGUGGUAAACUCAAUUCAGAUUUAGGGCCUCAUAUCAGUAUUUCCACAUGUUCCUUCUCAGGAUGUUUGACUCAGUCCCUCACUGCUCUGCAACUUUGCACACUGCUGUUACAAAUGCCCCGCUCUUUAGCUGGCAUUCACUUCUGCUUAAGGAAGGAGGGAGUGUAUUUUAUUUUGGGGCAUGUCUCCAUGAUGAAUAUGAGACCACUGGCGGGAAAGAAGAAGGUUUGAGAAGAUGGAGGAGAGCGGGUAUGGUGGAGGGGGUUUGGCUUGGUAGUGCCAAGACUUAUGACUCAUUGUGGCGAGGGAUUGGAGGAUGGGAGGGGAGGAAUGCGUGGCUGGUAUUGGUGGAAAAUCAUGUUCAAGGUUGAACCACCAUGAUCCUGUUAUAGUUUCACUCUGCAGUUAUUUGGGAAACAUGGUUUUUACAGCAUGGGCAGGAAUAUAAGGAGCUAAAGUUUCUGUUAUCAGGGUGGUGUUGAAAUUCUUUUUUAAUGUUUACUCAGUGAAUAGUCCAGCCAGGGAGGGUUAAAUUAUGUAAAGGUGUUUAUAGGAGAUGAUAAUGCAUGUAGACAAACAUAGUUUUAUAGAAGAAAAAUAAACUUGACACUUGAGUUCAUUGUUUUUUAAGAGCCUCAGGCUCUGUGGCGUUCACCUAACGUGCCUCCUGUUUGACAAUAAUGAAAGCCAGCUGGUUAGUGCAGUUCACCUGGUUUGCAGACAAGCUUUCAGACCAGACCAUGUGGUGUCUGUUGUACUAAGAAUAAACCAAGGGGGUGCACACAAGUCACCUGCAGCAGCCAAGGAAUUUUUGGCCCUACAGCAUCCAAAUCUGCUGAAAAAUAUAUAUUGCUGUAGGGUCUUGUUUCAGCCUAAGUGAUGCAGCCUUUUGAAAACAUGUACGGACCAUCUUAUCUAACUCAGAGGUGCUUUUCUCCAAAUCCUGCACAGCGUGAAACCUUAACCCUAGAUAUUUUUAAAACAACUUUUAAUGUGCAAAUUGCCUAUUCAGUAACAAUGGAUUGUUCAGAUGGGAUUUCAGAUCAGGAGUGAAAACCCCAAACUGUUCAAUGCUGAUCUCGGUCUUCCCAAUCACAGUUUUAAGACAUGAUCUGCAAUGUAUGGGGAACCAAAGCACAGCCGAGCAUUUACUCUGUGGAUUGUCAUGUUGAAUGAUAUGAAGGCCAAUCUGCAAGUUUAUAUUCAAACCAUAAAUUUAGAUUACAUCCGAAAUAAACAAGCCGUUGAUUUGUGGAAACAAUUUUAGUGUUUACACAUCAUGUGGUAACAAAUCCAAAAAUCUAAGUGACAAGGAAAGGAGUUGAACAAGAUUUGCUGCUUCAAUGAAAAUACUAAGCAGGUAGGCAGCUUGCAAUGUUACUUUUCUUACUCUAUAUCUGUUCUCUACACCCCCAUUAGCUUAAUAAACUUAGUUUGGGCCCUUUAUGUGCUUAUCUUCGGUCUAGAGGUUCACAAAUUAAGUCAAAAAUCUCCAGGAGGGCUUGCAGGCUUAUAAAGGUACCCUGAUAAUAUUGGACCAAGUACUCUCCAGCGGGGACACGAUGACCACUGUGAGGGAAAAGGAGUUCCCAGUCAGAAUGAUGCUCCCAAGCCUGGCGUGAGGCAUCAUCAUUACUCUCGACAGGAAUCCAAAACAGUGUGGGCAGUGUCUCCCUAAAGAGUGUGUCAUCCUCCAGAGUUUUUUUUUUGUUUUUUAAUUUGUGAUGCAAAUCAGGUUGUAGUCAGUCUCUGUUUUGUCUUCAGUUGCUUCACCCUGAGGUCACACCAGGUUACUGAUAACCAGGUGGGAUGGUGUGAUUAACCCUACAGCACAUCCAGUCCCCUUCAUGUCAUCCUGCAGUGUGUGAUUUACCUUUGUUUUCUUAUCUUGCAGCUUUUGCAUGUUUGGGAUUAGAGGCAAGAGUAUCAGAGAAGUUUGUUUUUUUUUGUUCAUCCCUUGAUGCAAUGCUAUUCCCAAAAUGUGUGAGGUUGAAAAAGUUCCUGCUGAUCAAGCCCACCCGGCCUGCUAGUCAACCAGGACUGUGUUCUGGUCAUGGAUAAUGAGUGGGGAGUGGUUUCCAUGGAAAAAACAAAAAAGAAAGGGUUCAAACGAACUGAGAUAAGGAAAAAAGACAAAAAAAAGAAGAACACCCAUGCCUCUUAAGUGAGAUUUCAAAAGCUUGAUAAACUUUAUGAAAUGAGCCGAUGAACAAUUCCAGAGCUUACUUUAAAUCUCUUUUUACCAGCAUGAUAACUCAGUCUUUUUUUUUUUUUUAAAGUGAGAUCAACUAAAUCGUGGACUAAAGUUUGAGUCUACUUUUAAAUUGUUUCAAGUAAAAAUGUAAAUUAUUAGAUUAUUUCUGCGGAAACAGGCCACCAAAAUUAUUCUCAAAGUAGCUUUGAGGACAAUAAAGAUGAUGCAGAAUACGUUGUGUGUAUGUUUACGACAAUUAUACGUCAAUGCAUCACUCUCCACAUUCCACUCUUAUUGUUGUGUGUUCACAGAGAUACCCAACACAACCUCCCUCCUUACACACACAACCUUCCCACUGAAUAAUGAACACACCUUAAUUUACUGAUGUUAACCUGCACAUGUACUAAAGAGACAAACAUUCAGCCUUUGCACACACAUUAGUUCUUCUUCAGCAGGGUGUAAGAUUAAAUAUAAAUUAGAUGUUUUUAAUUAACAGGAAAUCCAGAUCCUACAUGUUGUAACAACUAUGGUGGGUGUGGAGACGUCUUUUUUCCUGUAGACACACACACACACACACACAUAGAGGAGCUAAAACAAAGAGUUAUGCCCACUCCAUAAUCCCCCCAGCAGUCCAGGUUUUCUCCAACAACACACAGAGAAGCCUGUAGGAAGACCAGGUAAUGGUUUGGAAUGACUGCACAAUGUGUCAUACAAGUGUAAAGUUACAGCCCUGCCUACCUCUUUCUCUCUCAGACCUGUGGCCAAUAGCAGCUCAGCUCAGUCCCCUCCCACAGCAGCAGGCUUUAAAACUCCUCUGAAG